ACACCUCCGAAGAGUCCCAAAAUAGGACGAAACGGCCGUCCAGUAC
rnacentral:hammerhead_ribozyme from 1 species